AUUUAAUACAGUGACUUCUGCUCAGUGAAGUUUAAACAGCCGCAGUACCUUGACUGUGCAAAGGUAGCAUAAUCAGUUGGCCUAUAAUUGAGGUCUAGUAUGAAUGAAAUAAUGGGGAUAAUCUGUAUCCAUAGUGUACUCAGAAUUUACUUAUUAGGUGAAAACUCCUAUAACUAAAUAAUAGACGAGAAGACCCUAGAAAUUUUCUAGAACAAGUUCUCCUUGCUUUUUGUUGGGGCGACACAGUAGCAGAGAACCGAACCUACUGAGUAUUAUGUGAUUAGUAUGUUAUGAGUAAAUAAAUUACUCUAGGGAUAACAGCAUAAUAUUAGAAAGUUUGUGACCUCGAUGUUGGACUAGGAAAGUAUAGCCCAGAAGGUUAUUAUUAAGGCUCUGUUCG
rnacentral:rRNA from 1 species